AUUUCAUGAACCCCUUCCAAGUUGGAAAUAAGAGGGUUUUUUUUUUGUGUGCGCUUUGCAACAUUUUAGUCAUCUUCUCCAUUUCAAUCCCAACUAUCAAAGGCAAACGCCGGGAAAUGGGAGCAGCAAGCAAGGCAGGGGACUUGUUAUUUAAGGCCUUCGUUGGAGGGCUCGGCGUCACCACCAUUUACCUCACGGCCACAUUUUCCGUCAACGUCUACCGUGGUCUCUCUUGGCAUAAAGCACAAUCGAAAAAUGAGAAAGAAGGAUCUGUAGUUCAGCAGGAAGAAUGACCUGUCUUCAAGUCCUACCCUUGAGGUGUCCUUCCAGAAAUUUCGGAGUAUAUCUGAAUCUUGUCGCAUUAUGUAAUGACUUUUUCACAGUUUUUCCGUAGGAUAUUUAAAACACAGCAGCACUUCAUAAUCUUCUCCAUCCAACAAACAAAUUGGAUGGACAAAGUAUGUCAUGUUUAUUCAAAUUCCAUUGCUAUAUUGUUGCUGAAAUUCUCCACAACGAUAUUUGGAGUUCCACAGUUGUAUGAUUAAUUCUAUUUACAAGUAACAUACAUAGAUAGCAUGGCAAUGAAUAUUCCUUUUUGAGUA